GUUGUUGGGUGCGUGAGGAUGUGGUUGGACUAUUGAAUGCGUGCGGAGAGGCCCUAUGUAUAAUUCAUGAUGGGAAAUAUUUUUUUGGGUCAUGGCAGCCGUACCCUGCCGUACCCUGCCGUACUCACCGCGUCGACAGCAUCACCAACCUUGGCAACCAGCUUCUGUACGUCAUGUCACGAGCAAGAUGCGAUUUGGUGGUACAAAAAUAUUUUUGUUAGGCAGUUGGUGGACGGUUUACACAUGUAAACUCGGUGUUUGUGACUAGGUGGUGACGGACGGACGAGAAUGGUAUGUUGGUAGUUGUUGGUUGUACAAGUUGGCAAAGGAUUUGCACACUCUUGGUUCGCCUGCUCGGUUACGCACCAGCAACUCGAGAGACCUUUUCAGCGGUCAGCUGCUACACCCUCCCUCUCUAGAUUUUCGAGGGUUCGGAAGACGACCACAAGACGAGUGAUGCCGAUACAGAGGGUUGGAAAGAGAGGCAGAACGAAAGAUAGAAAGAUGCUCCAGGAAUAUAUAAUCGCGACAGUCGCCGCAGGAAAUUUGCGGGUUGGGCCACUUGCCGGAAUAGGGGAGGAUGGAGUUGGGGAAGACAACGGCCCGCAGUUGAUUGAUAGGUAGUUAGAAAAACCGUUUACUAACUGAAUUCUCAACUGAAAUCCCAGGGAAUGGCUUUUUCGGCAGUAAUCGGCACUAAAGAGGUUGACUGUUGACUGACUCCAGAGAACCAUCUUCCUCACACCUUUAAGUGCACCACGACUGCACCGCUUCAUCACUCCACAACUAUGCACGCACACUUGGAGGCUUUACUGGAGGCUUCACUUCAUACUUCGACAAAUAACCUUGGAAACUCUGAACAACGUUGUGGCAGGGGACAAGUACGGCUCUUAGCCGCACCUCACAACCUCAACUCACAAUCAACAGUGGCCACCUCCACACUCCACAAACCUCACCCGUACAAACGUCACCCGUACAUACCUCACCCGUACAUACCUCACCCGUACAUACCUCACCUAUCAGUGGGGGAAGCAACGCCGCCCGAAGCCAUCACCUUCAAGCAAUGAGCCCCCCGACGAAGCUCGUCUCGAGCCGCACGACGAACCUAAUACAGCCGGCCCCCCAACGAACCCAACCCAAUUUCCCCCCCACCCCACCCCGGCCCCCCGGACAGAAGAAGUGGAAGUUAGGACUGUAGGAAUGUAGGCCGAUCAAACAGGGGUAGAAGAGAGGUAGAUGUAGUAAAGGUAGCAACAGAUUGAUAUACAGAUUAUUUUCUUUUACAUAUAAAAAAACUCUCAACGUCUCUAAUCUAACCUAACCUAAUCCAAAACCAAAUCGGCGCAGCCUAGAUGGUGCAGACGGCCCAAACGCCGAAAAAACAGGAAAAAAACAGAAAAACAGGAAGCAGAAAAGCAGGAAAACAGAAAAACGCUACCUCUGCGUCUCCAUCGCACACGCGGCCGAUGCCUCGCAGCGCGGCUCCGCACGCACACAUCUCCUCUCNNNNNNNNNNNNNNNNNNNNNNNNNNNNNNNNNNNNNNNNNNNNNNNNNNGGCAUGUGGGUUUGUGUCCCGGCUGCCUGCUAAAGAAGUUGGAGCAUCGCACACUUAUAAAAAAAAGCAAUAAACAUAAACAUAACGAGAAAAAACAAACGUAGAGUACAGUUUUUGAAGGGGCAGUAGAACUAGCUGCGGUUCAAGAAUAGAGUGUGUAUGUGCGUGUGUAUGUAUGUGUGUGUGUCUGUGUGUCUGUCUGUGUGUGUCACAACCACUAGAGGAUGAAGGAUGUAAGUUUGGAAAGGUGGGAAAUGAAAUACAAGCUUGGGGCCAAAAAAGUUACGGCGCUGGGUUUAGGAAGGACGGCUGGCGAAUGAAGGGUUGCGGUGACGGUGUUGCAUGGGUACCUCCAGUGACACCCUAGAGUGGCCCGAGUGCAAGUGUGUACCGAGGAGAGUUGCAAAGGAGAGGGCUGUUGCUGCUACUAGGUUCGGUUGGUUGAUUCCAUUGCAGCGAACAAGUUUCAAAUAUAUUUCAAAAUAUACUAUAAUGCGCGUGACACGUCCGUAGUCGAUGUGAAUGUGCCAGCGCAGACAUGUCGUACCGUGUCGUACGAAGUCGUACCCGUAAACAAGAUGCGAGGUCCGAGCACCAGGCCCUCCUCCACAGCUUGAGCCAGUCCGAAAUCCGCACCGCCUGCCGAACGAGAAGAAACGCGGGCUACGUAGGAAUACGCGUUUGAAUGGACAUGUAGGAAUGGGAGAAUGGCAUAGCGUGUGUGUGUUCCUUACACCUUCUAGAGUUGCGUUAUACUCUCCAAAGGUGUAACCUGGGGGGGGGUGGCCCGUACAUACAUACAUACAUACAUACAUACAUACCUGGGAGCCAUGAGGUGAGGUGAGGGGGGGGGUACCACCCAACCUAGGGCCCUGGGGGGGUCGAGAAGGCUGUGUGUCGCCAGAGGAAGAUAGAUACUGUGAACACGCAUAAACACAUACUGUACUGAUAUGUUUGGUUGUGUAAUAAAAUAUUGAAUCAAUUUGACAAGAAAUGGAAGUGCUAGGGUUGGUGUGUAGGACGAGAACGAGGAGCAGGAGGAGGAGUACGGGUGGGAGGAGUACAAGCCGGAGGAGGACAUACGUCCGGAAUAAAGGCAAGGCAAGCCUAAGCCAGGGAGAAGGAAGAGGACGGCUGAACGUGCCUCUACGGCCUAAUGCACUGUACGGCAUGUCGUACGCACCGUCAGUACAUCCCGCGCACCUGCGUCCCGUACAGUGGUAAACCCUCGCGCCAGCAUGCCGGCCAGGAUGUGCGCCGCCUUUGUCGACACGUACGACUCCGGCAGCGACAUAAGGCCCGCCAGGUUAGCAGUGACUGCCGUACAGUGUACGUGAGCGUCGCAAAGACCUUGUGAACGAGCGGCAGCAGCCGGGGGACCCGGGGAAAGUGAGUUGCGUGCGAUGGCACGAGGAAUGAAGGCAGAUGACAUAACAAAACACACGACACGCGAUACGACACGAUGGGGCACGGCGCUACAAUCCCCCCAGUACGGCACUAACGAAAACUUAAGGACGAGCCUCAGUCCAUCUUUUGUCCCCCAUUAUUCAACCCCAUCACGUGCGCCGGAAACAUCUUUCCGGAAUUUGGGCCAAUUUUUAGGCUUUACACCGUCGAAAGGAUUGAGUAACCCGAUGCUUAUCACCAUUUGACUCCUCCUGCCGUUCGGUUGAAACCCAACCGAACCCAACCGAAUUCAACAAACCCAACCAAAAACGCACCAGGCAUCAAUACAGCGCCCCCACAGUCCACCUCCACUGCUGUAGGAGGAUGAGUUCUAAAUCCCUCAAUCGGCGCAAUUCCCGCCUCAGCCUCCGCAUCUGCUGACUCCGCAUCUGCUGACUCCGCAUCUGCUGACUCCGCAUCUGCUGACUCCGCAUCUGCUGACUCCGCAUCUGCUGACUCCGCAUCUGCUGACUCCGCAUCUGCUGACUUCGCAUCUGCUGACUCCGCAUCUGCUGACUCCGCAUCUGCUGACUCCGCCGCCGCCACCAUCACCGUCGUGGUGGCCCCCGCAUGACCCAUGGGUCGGACCUCCCGAAUGAGCCCUCCCUGGAGCAAAACACUUUGCAAGCCCUCUAGGUAGUUCCCUGCCGCAACAUCCAGGACUCGGCAGUUGGUCAGAAGCAGAGAGAACUCCUGUGGCGGACUGGACGCCGCUGCCGCCGGCUGCAAGGACAUAGCGGGAUCUGGUCCGCCGGUCGCCGCCGCGUCUACCGCUGCAGGUGUUGGGGGCAUCUGUGAAUCACUGUGGAGACGCGGCUUUUUAGGUGCAGGUGGGCUGGACCCGGAGGCGGCAGAGGGGAAGGAGUGCGCACGCAGACGCUGGAGAGCCCGCCUAGCCGCACAGGCGCGCGCAAAGGAGCUGAAACAUAGUUCUUCUGGCAUGAUAUUGGUGAUGUCGUCGUUAUCGGCACCUUUGGGCUGGUCACCUUCCGUUGAGGAGAACGGCAAAGUAGGCCAUUCGUUCGGCAGCCGGAGCUGCAACAUGACUCCGAUAAUAGCUGUUGUCUCCUGAUUUAAUAACGGAAUGAACUUCUUAUGAAAGGGCUCUUUUCUAAAAAGCAACUUGAGGAAAUGCGUGAAAUCGGUACGAUUCUUGCGAUUUGAGACGGGACAUGAAAUUAGACACCAGCUCCAGUACAUGUCAAAGCCCCAAAGGAGGUGGCUAUGAAAGCCUUGGAAAUUGUGAUUUCGGAAGAGGCAACGGAAUACUGGACGAGGCUGUACAUUCUUCUAGCCAGCGUGCAGCAUCUCGUGGUCCUGCCAGCUUGUAAUGAUGCUUGGUCCCUAUAGGGUACUGCGUCGUAUGCUAACUAACUCAAGGAGUCAGAAGUCACAAUUUGGUUGGUAUUGAAGAAUACCGUUUUUAGGUAAGAUCAAUAUUUUAACUGAGUUGGACGCUAGCGCCAUAAGGCCCUAUCGUACAAGAAACGCCUUUGGCGUUAGUUAGAGAAGACUCCACUCGGACGUCCUUACAUUCUCCCCCUCUUGAAUGCGAACGCGUCCUCGGCGCGCCAGUGUAGAUUGGGAAGGGGCCUCUUAGGGCAAAGGGUACACCCUUGGCAUACAACUUGGCGUGAUAGGCUUCGACCGCUUUGGGGCAGCCUCGGCAGCAGUCUUGGGCCGUCUCCCAGAAGUCGUACUCGGGGCCGUGGUUUUGCCAGCGGACCAAGUACUCGACGAAGGUGGCGGCGGCCAGAGGGCCCCCCUAGAGCACGGUGUGCAUGGAUUUCUUCGGCGAACCACAUAGGGUCGCCUUCCACAGAGGGGACCACUGGUGGGGGUGGUGUGUUGCUGCUUUGUUUAAAUUUUGUUCCAGCAGUGACACGUGAGGAAAAGACAUUGUUUGCAUGCACAAUAAUGCACAAUGCCUCUGGGAGUUGCAGGCGGACUGCAGACUCGCCCACCAUGCCUAGGAUGGGGACGGGUCCCAUGAACCGAGGCAUGGACUUGCCACACGUCCUUUGGCAUUAGGUGCGUUCCCUGGCAUUAUGUUUUUAGGAUGUCCUGCUCAACUCUAAGAAUAUAAUGUUAGGGAAAGAAAUUAAUGCUAAAGGACGUGUGGAAAGUUUAUGAUUCGGUUCAUAACCACUGAACGACUUGCAGGAGUGCGUGAUCUGGAGAUACAUCCCGAACCUGUCUUCGCGUGCAGGUGGUAACGCGGUAUCCAGUAGCGCACUUCUGAGAUCAAUUUCAAGAAAGGUUGGCAUGCUUACCCGCUAGAUCGUGCGACUACGCAAUGGACGUAUGGUACAGUUCUCAGUGCAGCAUCGCAGAACGUCCGCCAAUCGUAGGCUGACAUCCCUACACCAAGUAGACUGGCCAUUACGCCGGGACUCCACACAGGCUGUUGUGAUUUGAACGGGAGAAUGCCGACCAUCGAACUAUUUCCCGCCUAUUUAGCUCACUCAGCCCCGCGCUCAGUUCGCAGCACAUGAAUGAACUCCAGUCCAUGCAUCACAUAUGUAUGAUCUCUUUGAGCGCCCGAAACCAAGUAUGCAUACGUAACUAUCGCAUCCUUACAAUCCAUCUACCGUCUGAGAAUACAUAGUAACCCUUCGUGAUCUAGAACCACAGGAACCCCAAUUGGAAACCGACACUGCUCCCCUAGCUGGAACCCAAAACAUUUAAUUCUAUUCGCAUGACCGUACUUCUUAGCUUUUCAAAUUGGAAGUCCUUUAUUUCCUUCAGUUCCAGCGGCCUAUCCACAACCUUGUAGGGUCUGGUCGAUUUUUGGAACGGCCAUUGCCUCGCUUCUUUUUAUAGAAUAGCCUUAACAAAUGCUAACCCCGAGAAGGCGUUAUCCUAUGGACCCCGAGCACCUUCGCCCCCAAUCGGGAGCAACCACUUGCGAAGAGAAUAAAAAUUUUCCCUAAGGAACACAAUUUUUACCGUAUCAAAAAAAACUCAACUUUGGAUAUAGGACCCUGGAAANNNNNNNNNNNNNNNNNNNNNNNNNNNNNNNNNNNNNNNNNNNNNNNNNNACGCACCUAAUGCCAAAGGACGUGUGGCAAGUUCAUACCUCGGUUCACAACCCCUGCACGACUUGGAAGUGUGCUGGUCGGUGAUACUAGUUGGCAUGCUAAGCCUGCCGUUGUUGAGCGGCAUGUAGGGCGGCUUUUGGGGCCUUUUCGAGACAGCGUGGAGGGUGUCAGCGAGUUUGUCGACUGGGCAAGGGUGUUGUUUCAUUUUGAGUGGAAGGCCGUAGUCGUCCGGCAUUCGUGGACGGCAGCCAUACACAAGGUAGAAGGGCAUGUAGCCCGUGGCUUCACAUUUGCUGUUGUGAUUUGAUGGCGAGAAUUCCGCCAUCCGCUGUGUGUGUGUGUGUAGGUGUUCGGCCCCAGUGUUCGGCCCCCAGCAAGUCGGUGAGUUCCGGCCCCCUACAUAAUUGCGUAGAAUCUCUUGCAGGACGUGAUUCACUGUUCGCUCAGUUAGUCCAUCCGUUUUUAUAAGAACCAGCUACCCUUUUAUAAAAAACACUUCCACUUACCCAGGUAGCAACCAUGGUAGCAACUAUAGUAGCCCAACAACUCUAACCUAUUGCUACCAACUUCGUCUAUGUUACCUCCAAAUCUUGCUCCUUCUCUUUUACUGUUAAUACUUUUUUCCUAAAGUGGUGAGGGUGGAACGACGUGGAGAGCUGCUGUUUUUUGAAGUGCAGUUGCUGGGCUGUGUUGCACAUUGCUUACACAGUGAACCGCGGGUCACGAUCUGACGGUAGGAAGUCAGUCGAUACAGAGCCAUGUUCGCAGGUGAGAUAUUUCAUCACGCAAGAUUUAUGCGAUCUGAAGGAUCAUAGUGAUUUGGUCGUGCGUCGGCACGACGAACAUGACGAAUUUUGUCAACAAAUGUCGACAAAGACGCAAACGGCCGUGUGGCCAUCCUUGGCGGGUGACAGCGGCGACUUGAUGAUGAAACCGCAGGACACCAGCAGACUGUCAGACUCCAACAAGCAGCACAGCCGCAGACUAAGGUUUGACAAACAAUCUCAACAUAAAUAAAUAGCCUAUCUUUUAUUUGGACUUAGCGCAAAAGCCCACACAUUAGCAACAAGACAAAUACACAGACAGCAAACNNNNNNNNNNNNNNNNNNNNNNNNNNNNNNNNNNNNNNNNNNNNNNNNNNACUCACCGCGUCGACAGCAUCACCAACCUUGGCAACCAGCUUCUGUAGGUCAUGUCACGAGCAAGAUGCGAUUUGGUGGUACAAAAAUAUUUUUGUUAGGCAGUUGGUGGACGGUUUACACAUGUAAACUCGGUGUUUGUGACUAGGUGGUGACGGACGGACGAGAAUGGUAUGUUGGUAGUUGUUGGUUGUACAAGUUGGCAAAGGAUUUGCACACUCUUGGUUCGCCUGCUCGGUUACGUAAAGCCCUUGGCCCUCUCUCCCGAAACAUGCCGUGCAAACCUCCAAACACGCGCCCCCGCGCUAAAAAACUCACACACGAACCCCCGCUCCCACUCCUCCAUACCUCUGGCAUCCCCGCC
rnacentral:lncRNA from 1 species